rnacentral:lncRNA from 1 species
CUGACUUUUAUGUUGAAUACUUCAUACUGGUAACCCCAUUCUUUUGUUCUCAGUUUGGCCUUGAAGAAAAGCAGAGCAAGAAUUGGAAUGGCAUUUGUAAGGAGGAGGAAAAUCUUUUCCUUCCGCCCAUGUAUUCAGGAGUUGUGAUAUCCCCUAUAUCCUAGCAACAGUCUUGGAGGGGGAUCCCACCAGUCCCUUUCUAUGGGGGAGAACUUGGAGUGGUUCUGCUGUCAGUUUACACAGUGAGAUCUUACACCAUAUGUAACUCUCAAGGCUGGAGAGAUGAUAUGCCGCCAACAUGGUUGGGAAACAUGGAGAAGCAGAAAGCUCGUAGCUGGACUACCCUACAAGGAGAAGUGGCUUCUGUGAAAUUGUAAAAUGCUGCACACUGCUGCUCUUCCUCCCUGGUUAUUCUCCUUCUGAACCCUCAUAUAUUAUUUUAAAAAUUUUAAACAAAUAAACAAGCAAAACACAAGGAUGCAUAAGUCAGCCUUUCUUCCAGCUCUCUGGCUUGGUGGAGGGAUGGAAGUAGGGUGGAAACGGAAAAACACAUUGUCGGGCCAAAUAGUAUUUUACCUCCAAACAUGGGCCACC